rnacentral:rRNA from 1 species
AUGCCAACUACAGAUACUAGUGUACCAACUGAAGUGUCUAUUAGCACGCGGGUCACAGUCAAAACUACCACUGUUGCUCAAGAAGACACAACUGCAACUGCAAGCUCGAAGGUGACAACUCAUAGAGAUUCUUCAAUGCCAAACACGGAAGGAGGUCAUCAGUCUGCCAAACUGCUGUCUCUAAGAGCUAUCACAGAGCAUCCAAGCAAGCCUGCAUCACCAAGAGCUGAUUUUCAACACACAUUAACACAAGAGGAGGUGUUCAACAUUGUAAGCAGGUGCAAGCCUCCCAGGCUGCCAACCAUAACAUUACUACGAACCAGGUCAGCGAACGAUGCACCUGUGAAUGUGCCGCAAGAAGAUGCCCCUGGUCUUCAACCCAUACGCAGAUCAAAUUCUUACACUAUCAUGGUGACGGGUACUGUGAUGCACCAACCUUUGACCUAG